rnacentral:rRNA from 1 species
ACGAACGCUGGCGGCGUGCCUAAUACCUGCAAGUAGAACGCUGAAGGAGGAGCUUGCUUCUCUGGAUGAGUUGCGAACGGGUGAGUAACGCGUAGGUAACCUGCCUGGUAGCGGGGGAUAACUAUUGGAAACGAUAGCUAAUACCGCAUAAGAGUAGAUGUUGCAUGACAUUUGCUUAAAAGGUGCAAUUGCAUCACUACCAGAUGGACCUGCGUUGUAUUAGCUAGUUGGUGGGGUAACGGCUCACCAAGGCGACGAUACAUAGCCGACCUGAGAGGGUGAUCGGCCACACUGGGACUGAGACACGGCCCAGACUCCUACGGGAGGCAGCAGUAGGGAAUCUUCGGCAAUGGACGGAAGUCUGACCGAGCAACGCCGCGUGAGUGAAGAAGGGUUUCGGAUCGUAAAGCUCUGUUGUAAGAGAAGAACGAGUGUGAGAGUGGAAAGUUCACACUGUGACGGUAUCUUACCAGAAAGGGACGGCUAACUACGUG